rnacentral:rRNA from 1 species
AUUGAACGCUGGCGGCAUGCCUUACACAUGCAAGUCGAACGGUAACGGGCCUUCGGGUGCCGACGAGUGGCGAACGGGUGAGUAAUGCAUCGGAACGUACCUUUCAGUGGGGGAUAACGUAGCGAAAGUUACGCUAAUACCGCAUAUUCUGUGAGCAGGAAAGCAGGGGAUCGCAAGACCUUGCGCUGAUUGAGCGGCCGAUGUCAGAUUAACUAGUUGGUGAGGUAAAGGCUCACCAAGGCGACGAUCUGUAGCGGGUCUGAGAGGAUGAUCCGCCACACUGGAACUGAGACACGGUCCAGACUCCUACGGGAGGCAGCAGUGGGGAAUUUUGGACAAUGGGGGCAACCCUGAUCCAGCCAUGCCGCGUGAGUGAAGAAGGCCUUCGGGUU